AGGGCACUCUUCACAGGAGAGAAGUCUGUGUCAGAGCGGAUGUGUUUGGGGAGGGCUCCGGGGGACUCGGUGACACCACCCUUCUUCAGGGGCCGGCAGUACCAGCGGUCCUUCUUGAUGUCGGGGAUGGUGAUGCGCGCCGUGGGGUUCUCGGUCAGGAUCUUGUGCAGCAGUGCUGUGGGGAAUGGGGUGCACAUAGGAG
rnacentral:lncRNA from 1 species